GUGUGUGUGUGUGUGUGUGUGUGUUGACCUCUCUCUCUCUCUGAUCUUCAUCUCCACAGGGCAAAAAGAAGCGGAGGAAACGGGACAAGCAGCAGGACCCUGGCACAGCCGAAGCCCUUCAUUCAGACUGUGUUUAUCGGGCUGUCGACUUCUGAUUGACAUAUAACUCUCUUGACUGUUCCUAGGAGGAAAAAGAAGUGCAUUCGCUACCUUCAAAGAGGACUCUGCGCCAGCCCCCAUUCUUCCGAUGGAAGUGCUAUAGACUCCCCCCCUUCACCCGUCUAU